ensembl:snRNA U4 U4 spliceosomal RNA
AGCUUUGCGCAGUGGCAGUAUCGUAGCCAAUGAGGUUUAUCCGAGGCGCGAUUAUUGCUAAGAAUGUGCUUUGGUUUCAUUGUCCUCCUCAUUAUGUAAGAAAACCCAUUUAAUAUUCCAAUCUUAUUACCAGCAAGUUGGGGGAACUUCAUCAGUAAUUCAAAUCUU